CAGCACAGGUCGUCACUGGGUGUAAAAUGGGACUGUUACAGUAAGACAAUUUCUUAUAUUUUCCUUCCUAAAGCUAAUUGUUUGAAUCAUUUCUCACUUCGUGUCCUACCAGUAACCGGCUGCAUUUGCUUUCCCUGCCUGUGAAUGUGUUUGUUUGCUACUGCCAAGGACACAAAGGGAAGCUACUGCUGCAAGAGGGACAAGAAUGCUACGUUACAUUCCAUUCCAGCUCGCAUGGCGCACAGCCCUGCUGGGGUCUCUCUGGGUCUAUGACAACCUGCCAGGAGCAGGAUGGCCAGCACUGUGUUGGGAACAUCUGUGUCAGAUGUUACGCCUUCCAGCACAACCAAAAGUGCAGCAGAAACCACUCAGUCCUAUUUUCAGUGACAGAAUGGUGACCCGACGUCCUUACUCUGCCCAGAUCACCACCUGAAGAAGGUGCAGUUCUCAGGUGAAAGAAGUUGCGCUCGAAGCUUCAUUACACCGCUUUGAUGCUGAAGUAAGAAUUCCCACAGCGAAGAUGGACAGAGCAAGACUGACAGAACCAGCCACAUUUUCAUUAUUAAUAUCAGAACUGCACGCAGUCGGAAAGCAGAAAGGACUGAAGAAUUUCAUAGCCCAAAUACCUACAGAAUAAUAAUAAUAAAAUCCCAGAGUGUCACAGUACAGCCCAAUGUGCCUUUUGGAAAUGCUGCCAUUCCAGAUAGCAGGGGAAACACAAAUCCAGCCCAGUUACCAUGGAAAUAUACAGUAUACCUCCAAAAUGCAAAGCCACCUGGCUGACCCAGAGAACUUCUUUGAGAUGAGCAUGGUAGCCCAAUAGCAAACAGCUGUCAAACACCUCUGUGAUGACAGACUGCACGGAAAGCAGAAGCCAGCACCACCAUCAGCUUAGUGAGCUGGAGAUGACCCAGCAAUCCUUUUCUUACACAACCCACCAAAGCUACUGCUACAACCAGUGGAGCUGGUUUUAGCAAGAGUGGAAGAUCUGUGGAGGGAAAGGAAAUGCUCAGAAGCCAAACAAUCUAAUGCAGCAUCUGAAAUGGUGCUGCAUGUCUUUUCAGUUAAAUGACUCUCAAUGCAAUGUUCACCCAGGGGUGUAUUUGUUGAUGGGACAGAGACUUAGGAAAAUGGCAGUGGAAAGAAAUCAUCUCCUUGAGCAUCCUGCGGUGCCCAGCAGGAGAGGCCCCAACUGCCUCGUGCCUCGAAGUGGGCGCUGCUGUGCCCACCAGGAACAGGGCAGCCAUCUCAGCGCCAAAGCCAUCCCCACCUCCCACCGGCUGGAUCCAAGCCUGAUCCUGGGCAGCAGUUACACGGUCAGGGCUGCUCUGCUCAGAAACCAACACGAGACAUUACAAAAGGAUUUUUCUGAAGAUGUAAAACAGCACCCAGGGAACAACUCAGGAAGGAGGCAUCGAGAACUAAAAUGCUGGAAUUUGGGAAAGUCUCCAAAACCUCAGAAUUUCAUAUAUAUUUGGUAUAGUAAGUGUAGCAGUGAAUUUAAAUCUCAUUAUCCGUUGCUGCUAAAAACAGGAAUGUAACUGAAAGUUUUGGGCAAUUCCAGCAUCCAUCAUCAGUACUCAGGCAUAGGCCUGAUUUCUCUGAGACUCUGAAGUAAUUUA
ensembl:lncRNA